AUGGAGAAAGUCAAAGAACCCAAAGCAAAUUGGGACAGUACUGCUCAUACAAUUUUUAUGAAUGCGUGCGUAGAGGAGGUUCGAGCAAAUAACCGCAACGAUGGUUAUUUUUAGGACAUAGGACAAGCUAAUUUGCAUAAAAAGUUCAAUGAACGCUCUGGAAGAAACUAUUUGACCCGGCAAAUCAAAAAUAGGUGGGGUGUAUGUAGAAGCGAGUACAACACAUGGAAGACAUUGAUCCAGCAAGCAUCUGGCUUAGGAAGAGAUGAGCAUACACACACUAUUGCAGCUACAAAUGAGUGGUGGGCAUUGGAGAUAAAGGCACAUCCAGAAGCUGCCAAGUUUCGCUAUGCUCCACUAGCGGAGGAGGAAAAAAUGUCAGAGGUUUUCGAUACUACUUGUGUCACAAAUGAGCAUGCGAGGGUGCCAAGUCCCUCGUAUCAAGGUGAUCCCUCUCGAAUCAGUUUGGAGGAUGACUUAGGGUGUGAUAGUCAUGAAGGCCAAGUUACCCCUAUUCAAAAUCGAGCCAAGGGUGGGAAGAAGAGGGCAUGUCCUUAUUCGCCAAGUCCAAAGAUGAAUGACAAGUGGGCAAGUGAGAAUGCUAAAAAUGAGGCUUUUGUACGCAUGGUGGACAUCUUUGGUGCAAGAGACAAGAGGGAUGCGGAGGAGAUUGCAAGGGAGAAGAGGGAUGCAGAGGAGAGGGCAAGGGAGAAGAGGGAUGAAGAGGAAAGGGCAAGGGAGAGGAGGGAUGCAGAGAAGAGAGAGUUAGAGGAGACUGCGGAUCCAACAAGAGAAGAGAUUAAACAAAUGAUGGCCAUGGUGGAAGCGGAUGGUUCAAAACCAGGAAGUGGUGAGCAUUUAUAUGCUACAUUUCUUUUCAUGGAAAAGAAAUAUCAUGAUGUUUUCUCCACUUUCACGGCUCAUGAAUCUGUUGCAAGGCUUGGAUGGAUAAAGAGGAUGUGGGAGCUCAAUAAUAAGUAG
rnacentral:rRNA from 1 species